GCCUCAUCCCCCCUCCCCCCGUGUGGGUGCAGCGCAACCAGGGCCUCGCUCGCAGCUGGGUAGAACUCAUCCGGGAGAAGGCAGGGUACGUGUCGGGUAUGCUGGCGCCGGUGGGCAUUGGCAUCGCUGGCGCUCUGCUCAUCGUGGGGGCGCUCUACAGCAUCAGGAUGAUCCACCGCAAGAGGAGGAACAGCUUCAAACACCAGCGCAGGAAGCAAACCAGAGAGGUGCGCACUGGACAGGACCAAGCCAUGCUAUUGGCCGACAGCUCAGAGGACGAGUUCUGAGAUGUGACCUGUCGUCAUGGAGAGGAAGGGAUGCUCUAACUAGCCCCACCCCUACCCCUCGCACCCGCCCACCUAGUCAACACACACACACACACACACACACACACACACACACAGCGCUGUUUUUGAAGAGGAAGUUCCCCCAGGCACCGUGCUUAAUAACGCUUUCUCUGAUUAGCCACAGCUGCUGACUGUGGCCUGACUGUGUGUGUGUGUGUGUGUGUGUAUGUAUGUGUGUGUGUGUGUGUGACUAUGCCUCCGAUCUGGUUCUCUCCCAGUAGGUCCACACAAGGCUUACACCCGCACAUUUACUGAUAAACACGGUCUAUUCUGGCUUGUGUGUGUCUGUGUGUGUGUGUGUGUGUGUGUGUGUGUGUGUGUGUGGCUCUGAUCUGGUUCUUCUCCAGUGGGUCCACACACACAGCAUUUGCAAGUGCACCCACCACACAUGAACUAGAGCUAAUUUAAUAACUUGGCAAAAAUGGAUUUUGAAAGUGUAGUGAACAUGAAAAUGUAGCUGAUGUAAUGCCCAGGUUGAGAUGUUCAAGAUUGAGAUCUGAAGGUGGGAUACUGUUGCGCUCUUGAUGAAAUUAUUUUUAGUCAGGUGCGUUAAACCAAAAGAUAUCAGGAAAAGGUAGUGAGGGUUCGCACUCUGUAAAAAAUAGACAAAGUCUUUGCUGAAGAAACUCAAGAUUGAGAUCUGCAAUGUUCCCACACACCACAAGACGACUUUAGUUAGACGGGAACUGAGACCUGGACCAGACCUGGGCCUCAUCUGAGCCGCACUCAGCUGCUCGCUGGUUUGGGUCUGCCACCUUCUCACAGCCAUGCCUACAGUUCACUGAGCAGAGGACUUAAAGCAACACUAAAGAGUUUUUUGUACCUUAAAAUAAUGUUUCCAAAAUCAUUUCAGUGGUUCAUCAACUCGUAACAGGGUGAACGGCCCUCUAUCGGCUAUAACCGCACUAUGUAAGUUCACCAGAUCUGUAGUUCGAUGGAAUGAGACAUAAGAAACUACAAAUUUGACUUGCUUCGAUGUCGCAAUACAUCAUACUUUCAUAAAAUCAUGCAACAUACUCUACCUUGUCUGCAACAUUGUUAUUUGCAGGAUAAACAAAUAGCGUGCUGGCGAGGAGGAAAAUCGCUUUAGUGUUGCUUUAAGAGUCCACACAUGUCCAGUGCUCAUCGCAGACCAGCCCAGCUGCCCUCUGGCCCAAUCACAGACCAGCCCAGCUGCCCUCUGGCCCAAUCACAGACCAGCCCAGCUGCCCUCUGGCCCAAUCACAGACCAGCCCAGCUGCCCUCUGUCCCAAUCACAGACCAGCCCAGCUGCCCUCUGGCCCAAUCACAGACCAGCCCAGCUGCCCUCUGGCCCAGCCACACAGGCUCUGUAAAUAUCCUGCUGCAAUCCCUGAAUUAUUGAAUUCAAUUAGAUGUAAAUUAAAUACAGAAACAACGCAGGCCACAAUCAGUGUUAACAUUUCUGCAGCUCAAACCAGCAAAAGAGAAUUAGCAUAAUGCAGUAAGAUUAAGAGUAGGACUUUGAUUAUAUACAAAUGGCUAUUUUUCUCCUUACGGAUCAUUUUUAAAUCAAGUGAUUGUAAAUAUUGACUUUUUGUUUUCUCUCGCAGAAGAGCAAAUAUGUACAGAUGGUCAUUGUUUGUUUUCAGAGCAUGGAAGAGAAAUGACUUCAGUCUGCUGUUCAUAAAUGUCAUAUCACUGGAAAGAGUUUAUUUCAAUUCAAUGCAUGGUGACCAACCCAUGAAGCCUCGCCUCUGAACUGUAUACAUUUGAAACGGCGCUCAACCUUGACCUUGAAGUGUCCAGAGUUAAAAGACUCAACACUGCUGACGUCAAGCUUGACCCUCAUCAUGGUGGACAUCGUGUAUGCUUGCUGCCACAAGUGAAGGUGUAACCCUUAGUGUUUUAAGACUGAUUACUAUCCUUCAUUCACACACACUGUCCAGCGAAUCAGAAGCAGUCGACACUGGAAUGGGUCUGUCCCUGAUUUGGACCAGAUCUGGUCUUAAUUGAGCCAUGGGGUUAAUUGAGUUCAUCGAGCCAGGGUCUACGCUGCACUCAGACAGGAAGAGACGAGCGGUGAAGGAACACAGAAUGGUAAUUAGUAAUUACGCUCUGCGACUCUUAAGCCUGAUAUAGCCUGAUGCAUAUUUAGUGCAGCGAGACCCUGGUUUGGCCAAGGCCUGGUUUAGGUCCACUCCAGGUCAGAUGCCAUCUGUUUGCGGUUUUCUCUCUCACUCUGAUAAACCUGUACACCUGCUUACUUUACGCCACAUCUGGACACAUCUACUCAACAUACCUGCCUGCUUUACAGUGCAUCUGGACAGCUCCUACAUACCUGCUUGCUUUAUAGUGCAUCUGGACAGCUCCUACAUACCUGCUUGCUUUACAGUGCAUCUGGACAGCUCCUACAGUACAUACCUGUCUGCUGUGUCAUGAGGUCAGGAGCGGUCAUCUGUCGUUAAGAGUUAACAGAACUCCCACACAGACAUAUAGGGUGCCUCUCAUUUGGGCUUUUGUACGUCCUCCCUCGCUCCUCGGGCCUCGAUCCUCACUGAUCAACAUAAAGAAUGAUGGGGCGAAAACAAUGGGAUAGCCUAUCCAGUGUUAGUUAUAGAUCAGUGGGAACGCUCCUCGAGGAUCGAGGAGGCCUGUUGAGAAGCGCCUACGGAGUCACAUAAAGUUAAGUCCUGUACCAGUCUCUGGUCACUGGCUGGUAUGUAAUGGAUACCCUCUCCUGUCUUUGCCUCUGUGCAGUGCCAUCUAGGUUUCCUCUGUAAUGCGAAUGCACUGAUUGCCCGUGCCCAUGUAUUUAUGCUUUAAGUGUCGUGUGGCCUAUGAUGACAACAGCCAUGUUUGGGUCUGUUCUACUGUUGACAAUCUGUGACUCCCAAUAAACUCACCUUUGA